UUGUAUCAUAAAUAACACUAUAC
rnacentral:snRNA from 1 species